GUGGAUUGGCUGCGCCGCUGCACCCGCGCGCUCGUCCCGCCGCCGUCCUCUUAGGCGCGCGCAGCCGCUCGGCCGUCUCGUCGCCGUGGAGGGGUCGCGACGCGCGCGGGGUCUUGCCGGAGUCUUCGUCCGUCCGUUCGUCCGUUCGUGCCCCGCGAUUGUCACGGUCUUCCGGAAGUCGUGGGACCCUAGAGGCCGUGAGGAAUAGCUAAGGCUGAAGGGACAGCCCAGUUGCUGAGUCCGGAGCAGGCCAGGAAGGAGGAAGACGAGAGCAGGGCGGCCUGAGGGACGGGCGGGAGGCGGCGAGCUGCAUGGAGUGAGGCCAGGAAGCCGGCAGGGGACCUUGGACUUGGGGAGGCUGCAGACCCGUGUAAAAGGAGAGGCGGAAACGGUCCACCGAACGGAGGCCGGGCGACGUCACUUCUCAGCGACUGUCAUUCUGCUUCUGUUAGAUUCAGUAAUGCUUCCCCCCACCCACAAGCCCCUUAGCAUCCUUGUCCAACCACUCUAGGUGUCUCGUCCACCAGAUUUCUCAAGCCCUCCAUCUUGUAAUCAGGAUCUCGUGGACGCACCUCCUCUUCACUUCCUAGGGCGAGAGCUGAAGCCAUUCCCUCCACCACACGCCCUUGGAGAACCAGUUUUGCUGCUAGAGUUACUGCAUCCCCAGUUCUCCCAGAGCCUGCCUGGUGCCACAGGCACGGAUGCAGUCCUGGUUCUGCUGGUGAAGUGGUGAAUGAGUGGAGUGCUCGGUGCAGGCGUUGCAGCUCCAGCAGAAGAAGGAAAUGCACGGGAGGGGUCUGAAGAUCUCAGGUGGAAGCUUCUUUGAACAUCUACCACUCAGUUACCCAGGAUGCACUUUGAUUUCAGCCUUUGUCCUUCAUCUCCCAGAGAGAGGCCAUGGGACAAGAAUAAAUUUGUGAACCAGGCUGAAAACUAGGCCCCAGCGACGAGGCCUCGCCCGAGCGUCGGACAGGCUCACGCAGCCCCCGAGCACCCGGCGCUACCGGUCGGCCUCUUGGCCCCGCCCCUCGCCGCGCUGCCGACCAAUCCUGGGCUCCGCUCCCCGCGCGUCACAGAGGCGCCGCUGGGGGGCUUCCCGCAGGCGGGCGCUCGGCGCGGUGUUGCCAUGGGGACUGCAAACAGCCGGGGCCGGGCGGAGAGAGGAGGACUUUCCCUAGAGGAAGCGGCCUCACCUCGGGAGACGCGCACAGGUACCCAAGGAGCAGAGCCCAGGCCUGUCACUGUCUGUCUAUUCAUGGAGUUUGUAAGUGAGCAUGAAGGCCCAUUGACUGAAGAUGUGUGACUUUGUUCCCCUUGGACACUGAGGGCAAUGCAGUACCAAUGCACAACGCAAUGACACACAAGUCUCCAUGGAUUCCUGAAACACAGGAGGCCCAGAAAAUGGGAAAUGUGCUGCAUGGACUAGCAGGAUGAAUUAGAGAUAAAUUGAUGGGACAUGGCAAGUCAAGCAUUUAGCCCUGUGCCUGACAGGCUGAGACUUCAAUUCUGCAAACUCAGAUGGUACAGAUGGCCAUGUGCUCACAUGGCCAGCCCCUUCAGGACUCAAGGAUGAAAAACUAGGGAGGUGUCAUGACAUGUCACGUGGGCUGCAUUGGUGGGAGUCGAGAGGACUUCAGUAUUUCAUUCCAUCUACAUGAUGAGCAAGUAGGACGUGUGGAAGACUCUCCAUAUGUUUUCAGGAAACAUAUAUUAAAAACAAUUAUGAUCUUCAGAUAAAAUAGGUGAAGCUGAAAUGCUGAACCACCAACUGGGAGAGGAGCCAUGAUAAACUAGUAGAGGAGGAAGGGCUCAGAAUGGGCUGCAGGAGGGGUCCCAUCCUGAGCAGCAAAAUCUUGACUGGAUGACCUCAGCGCCUCAGUGUUUCCAUUAACAAACCAUUGAAGGACCACUGCGGGAAGAAAUGAAUCCUGGAGGUGUCUGAAACAUUUUGCUGACACCUACUGGUAAGAUUGAGAAAGUACUAGCAUCAAACCUUGCAGAAUGGGGAGCAGUGGCAUGGGAAAGUAUCCAGAAAGAGAUAGCAGGGUAUUAUGUUCAGAAAUGCCACAUCUGAUGGCACAGAGGAUGGUAUUGUGUGGAAAAAUGUGGGCAUUGAUGUGUCAGAGUCAGAAAGUGAACCUCAACACCUCUCUCUCCGGGUGUGUCUCUCUCACACACACACAUAUACACUCUUUCUGCCCUGGGGAUAAAGUACCUCCCAUGACUGGGCAGAGACUUGAGUUCUUUCCUCUUCUUUCUGUCCCUGGGGGCUGUUGUGACUGGGAAAGCAGCCCAGGAAUCCAUAUUAAGAAUCACUAAGCCCCAGCAGGUGUUUUCACAUUUUUGCCUGCUCUUUGCCUCAAACCAAAUCAGAUCCUUUAUAUUUGCAAUUGAUUAUAUUCUAAUUACACCAAUAAUACAUGAACAUGUUGUUAUUUAAAACAAUGAAACUUGGGCGGCCCAGGUGGUUCAGCGGUUUAGCGCCGCCUUCAGCCCAGGGCCUGAUCCUGGAGA